GAUGAACGCUGGCGGCGUGCUUAACACAUGCAAGUCGAACGAAGCAUUUGGACGGAACUUUUCGGAGGGAAGAUUAAAUGACUUAGUGGCGGACGGGUGAGUAACACGUGGGUAACCUGCCUCGCACAGGGGGAUAACAGUGGGAAACUGCUGCUAAUACCGCAUAAGACCACAUCAGCGCAUGCUGAAGUGGUAAAAGAUUUAUCGGUGCGAGAUGGACCUGCGUCUGAUUAGAUAGUUGGUGAGGUAGAGGCUCACCAAGUCGACGAUCGGUAGCCGACCUGAGAGGGUGAUCGGCCACAUUGGGACUGAGACACGGCCCAAACUCCUACGGGAGGCAGCAGUGGGGAAUAUUGGACAAUGGGGGAAACCCUGAUCCAGCGACGCCGCGUGAGUGAAGAAGUAUUUCGGUAUGUAAAGCUCUAUCAGCAGGGAAGAAAA
rnacentral:rRNA from 1 species